rnacentral:lncRNA from 10 species
CACCUUUUCUUUAGACCCGCGUCUCACCCCGGGCCGGAAGGGCUCCUGCGCAGGCGUUUGUAGCCACUUUUAAGUUUUAUCAGCUAGUUCAUGCUUGCGUUGAAAGAGUGGUCGUUUGCGCUGGGUCAUCACUGUGUAGUAUUGGGGAUACUUAGGUGAGAAAAAAACUUAACGCUAGAGACGUUCACGCACUAGUGGAGAAGCCAGGAUUGUUGCCCUAGAGUUACAGUAGAUAAAAGUACCUCAGAGAACUGCGGGGGCUCCCAACCUGGACGCUUGCACCGGAGUAUUAAAUCCAGCUAGAGAAUGGCAUGUGCAAAGAUACAGAGCUACAGUCAAAUGGGCAGCUGAAGAUGAUGAUGAUGAUGAUCUUGACACCGAGAAGCAGAAGACCAAUGAAGAUGACCAGACAGCAAAAAAGGAUAAGUUAAAAGAAGGGUCUCGCUCUGUAUCCCAGGCUGGAGUUCAGUGGCACGAUCUCCGCUCGCUGCAACCUCCGCCUCCUGGGUUCAAGUGAUUCUCCUGCCUCAGCCUCCCAAGUAGCUGGAUUACAG